UGAUGAUCUGCUUCAUCCAAUCAUCCAUCAUCCAAUCCAGGCAUCUAGCCCUCUUUUCUUCUUUAAUUCCUCUCCAUCCAAACAGUUGUUCUUGGCAUGCACACCCAUCACCCAUGAUUAGAUCAGAUGUUCAGAUCAGUUCCUCUCUUUUUUUUCUGGAUACAUGCAUGCAUGCAUACAAACACACCACACCAUCUGAUUUCAAGCUUUUGUAUCCCUCCUUCAUCAUCUAUCAUUCAUGCUUUCUCCUUUUGUUUCUCAUGCUGCUGGUGUCCACUGAAUUCUUCCACACAAAAGCUGGCCAUUCAAAGCUUUUUCCCUCCUUUUUCUUCCUCACCUCUUUAUUGAUUAUGUCUAAUUUUUGCCCUAUCCUCUGCUGCAUCAGCAGCACAGCCUCACACACACUACUAGUACUAAAUUGCAAAAGAAAGUGAUUGCUUUCGCACACAGCCUCCUCCUCCUCCUCUCGUCUCCUACUGCAGCUCACUGCCUUCCACUCAUGGUCACCUCCUCAGCUCAGAGUGGUCGCUUGCACUUACAGCAUCAGCAUCACCGAGAAUAAUGGCGGCGACGACGGCGCCCUCGUUGCCAGGGUACGAGGUGUCCGGCGCCGCCGCCGCGGCGACCCGGCUUCACGGCUCGCCGGGGUCGGUCGGCGCGUUCUUGGCGGUGCUCGCCGCCGUGGUGGCGGUGACCGUCCUGUCCUGCGUCGUCGGACAGGCGUGCGCGGCGCGGGCCGAGGGGCCCGACGAGCGGUACGACUGCGCGGGGCUCGCCGGCCGGAGAUGGUGGCUGCGGCGGUGGCGGCGGGAGCCUCGCCGGCCGGUCAGGCCGGCGGCGGAGGAGGAGGUGGAGGUGAAGCAGCCGGCCGCAUAGCCGGUGCCGGAGCCGUGACCACGAGACACGCUUGCAGGUGAAGAUCGACAACAUAUAACUGAAGCACAUUUCAAAGCAAGAUCCAAGAACUUAAACUUGACAUCAUCUUCCAAGGCAUAUGUUAAAGAUUUACCAUCAAUGAUCAGUGCAAAGGAUUCAGUAUUUGAUUGACUUGGGGGUGGAAUCUGUUUGAUUCCAUCCUCUAUUUGAUCCAUUACCCUUUGCUUUGAUUCCUGGAGAGCCAAUAAAGAGUAAACUAUCAAGAUUUUAAAUUUCUAUUACAACGUGUAUAAAUAUAACUGCCUGUUUCGUUACACCUACAAUUUUUUUCAACAUUUGGGCGCUCUUGGAGAGAAUAUUAUCAUCCCAAAUUACAGUUCUUCUAUAAAUAAAACACUUAAUAUCUAAUGAUUCAAAAAAUAAUGGUAAUGCAAUGAUUUACCCACCCU